UACGUAGGGGGCUAGCGUUGUCCGGAAUCAUUGGGCGUAAAGAGCGUGUAGGCGGUCCGGUAAGUCCGCUGUGAAAGUCGGGGGCUCAACCCUCGAAUGCCGGUGGAUACUGUCGGGCUAGAGUGCGGAAGAGGCGAGUGGAAUUCCUGGUGUAGCGGUGAAAUGCGUAGAUAUCGAGAGGAACACCUGCGGCGAAGGCGGGUUGCUGGGCUGAUACUGACGCUGAGGCGCGAAAGCCAGGGGAGCGAACGGG
rnacentral:rRNA from 1 species